UCUUCCCCAACAGCUUGCAAGCUGCUGCUCCAGCAGCCUCGGGACUUUUAUGUAUGAUUUAAACGCUUCCUAAAGUUGCCAGCUAUCGACAUUUAGUAGUCAAGAUACCAAACUUGAAUUUGAUGGAAGGAUGGAUUUGUGCCUGCUGGCCGCUGAUAAACAGUCCCUUGUAGGGGCUGAUAAAGGCCCAUGGGAAGUCGAGUGUAGUUGCAAGACCACUGAGGCAAAUUGCGGCUUGUUUGACAAAAUAACGUGGCUCUUCUCUCACCGCAUAACUCGGCUCUUGUCUAUGAUUAUGAGGCCAGAUGGUGGCCUACCGAGCUCACUUUGAGUUGCCCUCCCCCACUCAUCAUCUAUGGCUGCGCGUGACCUUUAAUGGCAGCUUUCGAUCAUUGCUUAUAGUAUACGUGCAUCAAUACAUAUAAAAUGCGCAUGGUCUACUUUGCUAAUUUGCGGAAUGUCAUAAAAAUCCCAGGCGCAUUUGGUGCUUGAGCCUAACAAGUAACAACUUUUGCUCUGACUAACUAAUCAGAUUACAUCAAAAACCUUGGGAGGUUGAAUUGGAAAUCGGUGGUGAUGGGUCAAAGAAACCGUAUAUAAUGCGUAUGUACUUUAAAUUACAUUGGCCAUCACUUGUGAAUCUGAAGGCCCUGAGCAGAUUAGAUUGACAUAGCAACACAUAGGCUGAAAUCUGAUUAGACAAAAAAAAAAUAAAAUCCAAUGGCCACACAAAGUGCUGGAGGCAGUGCAGCCAAGAAAAAAAAAUCAGAAAUGCCGAGAGAAUCGGGGUGUCAAACUCAUUUUUGUCACGGACCACAUUGUAGUUACAGUCUCCCUCAGAGGGCCGUUAUGAAUGUGAAACCGUGAGAAUCUUUCACCUCAUCAUAUUUACAGAUGACUCCGCUGGUAAAGCGUUGGCCUCACAGUUCUGAGGUCCCGAGUUCAAUCCUGGACCCACCUGUGUGGAGUUUGCAUGUUCUCCCCGUGCCUGCCUGGGUUUCCUCCGGGCACUCCGGUUUCCUCCCACAUCCCAAAAAACAUGCAACAUUAAUUGGACAUUCUAAAUUGCCCCAAGGUGUGAUUCUGAAUGUGACUCUUUGUCUCUAUGUGCCCUGCGAUUUUCUGGCAACCGGUUCAGGGUGCACCCCACCUCCUGCCCGUUGACAACUGGGAUAGGCUCCAGCACUCCCCGCGACCCUCGUGAGGAUAAGUGGCAAAGAAAAUGGAUGGAUGGAUGGAUGGCCCCCAAUCCUUCUUUUUAAAAAAAGAAAAAACAGGGCAUUGUGACACCAUGUGUGGACCAUGCGGUUGAUGGGGACUGCUAAAACCACUAUUUAAAAUAUAAAAGAUGAAAUGUAAACUUAGAGCCACGUCGAGUUUUACCUGUCAGUCAAAUGAUGCUGAAAAUUAGUUUGGUGAAGUCAACUACUGCUUCAAUAUUGAUAACACAUUGCACUCUAGUCAUGGUUAAUAAACAGUUAAGUUUCCUGUGUGUGAACCCAGAAAUCCAGCACUGACAUCCGCGUGGUCCAAAACAUGAGAAGCAUUGAAAUUUUGGUCCUUUCAAUUUGCGCCUAAUCUCCACCAUGCUAGUAGAGCGUAAGCAAUAACCUUGUUAGAACUCUUUGGUCUCAUUAUGCGAGUCGUAAAUAAUGUGUUUGUUUACUAAAGGAACUCCUUCAAAAGACCAAGAGGAGGUCAUCUGCCAAGUUCUACAGUGUACUGUAUCUGUAGAGUUGCGUAACAAUAAACGGGCCUCUGUGCGCACAUGUGCCUCUUGCAGACCAAUGUGAUGAAACUGUAGCGCUAAUUAGAUUAUUUCUUUUCACGUUGCCCUCCAGAGCUAAAUGUUUCCAUGGUGUUUUCAUGAACAGGAAAUCAAGGCAGGAGCCUCAUGCAGACUUCCCGAAGCCCGUCUCCACUGAACAGAGUUCCAAGGAAUUUUCUAAGGGGGAUGAAAACAAACCAGUUGCGUAGCUAUGGGGUCACGUUUUUUUUUUUUUCCCUGCAGUUUGCAGCAGCGCCACCAUGUUGCCAUGGAGCCACAUGACAGAGGAAGGAGGGUUCUAGGUCUGGCCACAAAAGAAGAGGAGUUAACAGGGGGAAUGUGCAGGGAUGCAAACACGAAAGUUUGAAGCUUGGAUUAGUUCGAAGCAUUCUGUUGAGCUCCACGAUGAAUGUGACAGACCUUUACAAAGAAGUGAACAUGUCUGCCAAUGGGAGCACAAGGACACUGAACAUCCCCCCACCACUCAACAAUACUAUCAACAUCCUCACCAUCAUCAUCCUCUUCAUCACCAUGAUAUCCCUCGGGUGCACAAUGGAGAUCUCCAAAAUCAAGAGCCAUCUGCUCAAGCCCAGGGGGGUGGCCAUCGCCAUGGUGACCCAGUUCGGCGUCAUGCCUCUGACUGCUUUCGUGCUCGCCAAAUCGCUGAAGAUGGAUUCUGUCAAGGCGGUGACUGUGCUCAUAUGUGGCUGCUGCCCCGGAGGAAACCUGUCCAACAUCUUCACCUUGGCCCUCAAGGGGGACAUGAACCUCAGUAUUGUGAUGACCACGUGCUCCUGCAUUGCAGCUCUGGGUCUGAUGCCCCUGCUACUUUUGAUCUACUGCCAAGGCUUCAGCGGCUUGGAGAACGCGGUGCCCUACUUUGGCAUCAUCAGCGCUCUCACCUUCACCCUGGCGCCCUGCGGCGUGGGCAUCGUGCUCAAUCACUACAAACCAAAAUAUACACCAUUCUUCCUGAAAGUAACUUGGUUUGAGCAUCCUGAUCCUCUCCAGCAUCGUUGUGUUCUCUUUGUGCGGCGUGGCCGUCAAAGACGUGCUGUGGAUGAUCCUGACCGCCGACGUCGUUGCCGUGGCGGCUCUGAUGCCCCUCAUAGGUUUCACGCUGGGAUACGCCAUGUCCGCCAUAUGCGGACUCAGCCCGAAAUGCAGCAGGACUGUCUCUGUGGAAACGGGGUGUCAGAACAUCCAACUGUGCGUGGCCAUCUUGAAAGUGGCCUUUCCUCCAGAGGUCAUCGGUCCCAUGUUCCUCUUCCCUUUGCUUUACUACGCAUUCCAGUGUGCUGAGGCUCUUCUCCUGACCACGUGCUUCAGAUGUUACCAAAUGGUCAAGACACCAACUGAGGAAACAAGAAUAUACACGAAUGUCAAUGUGAAACAAGAGGAAGGGAAACAGCCGCAGUGUCUUGGAAGCUUGGAGGAAAAUAACCAAACAUGAUCAAACUCAUGGACUUCACUUUGGAUCAACUAUUAG